rnacentral:rRNA from 1 species
UGGGGAAUUUUACGCAAUGGGCGAAAGCCUGACGUAGCGACACCGCGUGAACGAAGAAGCCUUUUGGGGUGUAAAGUUCUGUCGGCUGGGACGAAAAAAAUGACGGUACCAGCAAAGGAAGCAUCGGCUAACUACGUGCCAGCAGCCGCGGUAAGACGUAGGAUGCAAGCGUUGUCCGGAUUUAUUGGGCGUAAAGAGUUCGUAGGCGGUUUGUUAGGUCUGGUGUUAAAGAUCGGGGCUCAACCCCGGGACUGCAUUGGAUACUGGCAGACUGGAGUGUGGUAGAGGUAAGUGGAAUUUCUGGUGUAGCGGUGAAAUGCGUAGAUAUCAGAAAGAACACCGGUGGCGUAGGCGACUUACUGGGCCAUAACUGACGCUGAGGAACGAAAGCCAGGGGAGCGAAUGGGAUUAGAUACCCCAGUAGUCCUGGCUGUAAACGAUGGAUACUAGGCGUAGUGGGUAUCGACCCCUACUGUGCCGCAGCUAACGCAUUAAGUAUCCCGCCUGAGUAGUACGGCCGCAAGGU